GCUGCCCAUAUAAACAGGGCACUUUGCUGCUGGAAGGCCAGGCAAUAACAUCACCUGGCUGCAGGGCUGCUGGUAUCAUCUGGAGGUCCGCCACUGUUUUUGUUCCACUCUCCAUGGCUGGACUUCCACAUCACCUCUCCAGGAAUCCUUGCCCCUGUUGGCUAUGGUUCGGGAUGCCGUAGCACCACCAGCAAGUCCUGCACAUGGUGAACCCACCACCGCCGCCAUGCUCCUGUGGCCUGGCAUGCCACAGUGUUGCCAGCAGGGCCUGCAGUGCAGCAGUCCCACUGUUGCUUCCCUGUUUCCGUGGCUCAGUGUGCCACAGGGCCACCGGUGAGAUCUGUGUCAUGGGGAUCCCGGUGUUGCCUCCAGGUCCCCAUUGCUCGGCAACUCUCCUGCACCUGUCACAUAUAUUUUGACAUGUGCUUCUAUAAAACUUUUAGUGGUAUACGGUCAUUACUAAAUUCUCUGCCCCCACACUCCUAAUUUCAUGAAAUCCUGAAAAUUUAAACUGAUAAAGAUUA